ACCUUAUCAAGAGCCGGGGGAGGAAACUGGUCCGCAGAUCCCGCAGCAACCGUUACGUGGUAACAAGGUGCUCACUCCAGCAAGCGCAUGCUUGAAAGAUGAGGA
rnacentral:ncRNA from 2 species